GAACAAACCUGCAACUUCCAGUCCACGGGGUGCAUAGUAAAGAGGAGACAGGCAAGGAGGAUGGACUGAUGGAGUGGACAGACAGAGCUUCAGGCACAUGGCACUGGACUGACCUCACAGCUGACUGAGAGCCUGUGGAGAGCAUGGAGCUGGCCCAGGGGUGGCAGUCAUGAGUAAGAGAAGGACUCCACUCCUACCAUGAGAUAGUGGCUAUAACAUGCCCUACUCCUUCUUGCUCAGAGAACAUGGACAUACCUAACUGCUCUUUGCCAUAGUUUCCUUCUCUGUAUGAUAGAGUGUCAUUUCAAAGACUGUGGUGAAUAAAUGAAAGAAUAAG